ACAUGCAAGUCGAACGGCAGCACGGGAGCAAUCCUGGUGGCGAGUGGCGAACGGGUGAGUAAUAUAUCGGAACGUGCCUAUUAGUGGGGGAUAACGCAGCGAAAGUUGCGCUAAUACCGCAUACGCCCUGAGGGGGAAAGUGGGGGACCGCAAGGCCUCACGYUAAUAGAGCGGCCGAUAUUUGAUUAGCUAGUUGGUGAGGUAAAGGCUCACCAAGGCUUCGAUCAGUAGCUGGUCUGAGAGGACGAUCAGCCACACUGGGACUGAGACACGGCCCAGACUCCUACGGGAGGCAGCAGUGGGGAAUUUUGGACAAUGGGGGCAACCCUGAUCCAGCAAUGCCGCGUGAGUGAAGAAGGCCUUCGGGUUGUAAAGCUCUUUUGUCAGGGAAGAAACAGCAGCUCUAACACAGUUGUGAAUGACGGUACCUGAAGAAUAAGCACCGGCUAAC
rnacentral:rRNA from 1 species